rnacentral:lncRNA from 1 species
UUCCUGACACACACAUAUCCUAACCUCCAGCAACCCGAGAAAGGGAAGAUCUCUUCCAAACUAGAAAGAAUUGAAGUGUAAAGGAGCAGAUGUUUUGCCAAACAUCCUGAUGUGUUGCUUUUUCUUAUGGGAGUGCGGAACUGUUCCUUCUGAUGCAUCGACUUGACAGCUGGUUGAUUUCAUGGAGCUGCUAAGAAGCCAUUAGUGGUGUCAUUGAAUUGAAACAGAACAGUCACUCCC